CACGGGGAGGCGCUCCUCGGAGCCGGCGCGGCCGGACGGAGGCGCCGGGACGGGUUAAGUGACCGCGCGUACCGGCGAGUUUCCUUGGGAACGUUCCUUCCCAACGCCGUGGGGAGAACGGGGCAGCUCGACGCCACAUCAGCGGUACGCCGGGUCCAUUCGGCGCGCUUCUGCUUUGGAUGAGAUACAGCUGUAUGUUCACACUCUCAGCUUUGCGAACGUUGAGAAACAGAAGAAGAACGACGCUUCCAAGGGCUUCAGUCGUCAGCUUUUGCCCAGAGGAAACUGGCACGGCCCCGCAGCCCUCCUGCGAAGCACGCCCAGGCCCACGCAGCGCUGUGGUUGCCGGAGUUGCCCCGUGGCGCAGCGGCAGCGCGGCCGGCAGAGGCUGCUCCACUCUCCUGAGCUCCGCGGGGCUCUGACGGCUGCGCGGCUGCGGCCGCAGAAACGCUGAGGUCACCCGGCAGCACCACGGCGUUUCGUUUGCUCUCCCGGCAGCACAUUCUGCUUGUAAACUGACGCCAGUUUUCUGUUAGUUCGCUCUUGAGAAAUUUAAAUGGCAGAGCGAGGUGACGUAGUACCCGACUGUGUGUAAUUGUUGCUUGUUGCAGUGCAGCGUGACUCGCGUUUGGAGGUUUUCUGCUGCCAUCUCCUACCUGCUUGUCAGCAAGGAAGAUUACACGAGGCCUGAAACUCCAGCGCCGGCUCUGUGUUUAAGUUCCCCCCAUCCUCCUGCAGCGUGGCUGCUGGCCGGCAGCUUGUGUGUUGUCCUCACCCCUUCUUCAUAUAUAUAUAUAUAUAGGUGUUGUAUAGGGUAUAUAUAGGUCACAGAUAGGUGUUGUCCUCACCCUUUCUUCAGUGGUAGAACGCACUGCAUUGCUGCACCACCCUUACGGUGAGCAUCCAUCCCAAAAUACUGAAGUCAAAUACCCGUGUGUCUUUCUCUGUAAAUACAAGACAGUGGGGAAUAGGUUGUCUUCACCGUUACAGUAAAAAGGCAGGCCUACCUUCAGUAUUACACGCAGCAUUUUACUACACCUUGAUAACACUGGGAAGGCAAAAUCUGCACAAAGCAAUGAAAGAGCACAUCUUGCAUCAAUACCUGUUUAGAAUCACAGAUUCAUUCCAAUGUAAGGAAGAAACAGCAGAAUAAAUAGGUUUAUAGUAAAACAUUAAGCAGUGCCCAGUUCUGGCCUCCUCGGUUCAAGAAAGGGAACUGCUGGAGAGUCCAGCGGGGGGCUGCAAAGGUGGCUGUGGGCCUGGGGCAGCUCCUGUGUGAGGAAAGGCUGAGAGAGCCGGGGCUGUUCAGCCCGGAGAGGAGAAGGCCGGGGGUGAUCUCAUCACUGCUUAUAGACAUCUAAAGGCUGGAAGCUGAGUGGAUGGGGCCAGGCUCUUUUCAGUGGUGCCCAACAACAGCGCAGAGGACACAAAGCGGAAUGUAGGCAGUUCCAUACAAGCACGAGGAAAAACUUCACUGUGAGGAGGACAGGGCGCUGGGAGCUGCCCGGAGGUUGAGGGCGCGCCUCAUGUGGAGGCGUCCAAAGCCCGCCCAGCCGCUUUCCCGCGUAACCUGCUGUAGGGAGCCUGCUGCAGCAGGGGUUGGGCUCCGGGAUCUGCAGAAGUCCCUCCCAACCGCUGCGAUUCUGUGAGAAAUGUUGCCCUAAACCCGGACUGUAACAGCGGUACCACAGUGGCUGUUGGCAGCCCUCACCCCGCAGCGGCUGCUCUGAGAUUUAUGAGCUUGAGAGCCUCUGUGGGAAUCACUCAUCUGCGUGGCUGCAGCGAGAUACAGAACCCACAGUGCUCUGACUGUAGGAGCUGGCUUUUUCCAGGAGACUUUAAAUGGACUGUGGAAACUACACCGACGGGCUUCUCUCUGUUGUUCUGUAUGCACUGAGGGACAUCUGUGACCAUUUUCAAGACCAUAAAGAACAAAAGAGGCAGAACCAUAACAGUAAAAAUGCCAGACAUGUAUCAGUUCAGUGUCCAACGCGCAUUAAGGAUAAGCUUGGCAGAGUACUGCUUACUACAAACGUACUGCCAUUUUAAUGAAGAUUAUUAUGAAGUAUCAAAAGCGAAUGUCAUGGAUUGGUAACCAAAACGUUUGUUUAAAUGCACCUUCUUGUUGCACCUGAAUGCUGCACAUGCACCGAUCAAAUGCUUUUGGCUUUAUGCUGUUAGCUGCUGACCAGGGCGGUACGACAGAGCCUUGCUGAGGUCUCCAAAUAAAAGUACUGCUGUUGGAAAUGUUAAUUCAGCUCCUGACAGCCCCACCAGCUUGGUUUCCAUGCACCCAUUCCCUUGGGCUGGCGUCCGUUCAGCUUCUAGCAUGGAAAUAAGUGUGCCAAGAGUAGAUUGAAAACAUUUGAUAGCGCUUAGGCAUCUUUAUACUGUUCUUGUCUACAAAAUCAGCAAAAUGCAAUUAUUGCUCCUAUUUUUUUUUCUUACCAUUCAUUAAAAGCGAAUCUGUUCACCUUGGGAAACAGAGGGGAAAAUUAGCCUUCCUGUGUGUACAAAACGUGCUUACAUCGUAUCGCAGUGUUGUUUAUCUUAGAAGACCAGAAAAGCAUUGUUUGCUGUAGCCACAGUUUUCAGGACAACCGGUGGCACAUCCACACACUUUGCAGUCACCACCCGAACAAUUGGACUCCAUGGGACAGCCGGGACUGGCGUGGCCCUGGAGUGGCAGCUGCUGACAGCACGAGCCCUGUGCAGCAGUGGAAGAGCUCCCACCCCUUGCUGUGCUCUCACGUCCUUCACGGCAGGCCGGAAGGAGUGGAAGUUUCCCCACGGCCUUUCCUCCCAGAGGCAGCUGAGGAACUUGUCUCUUUUCUGGCUGCUCAGGGUCAGACAUUUGGAGCAGGGCGGACAGCCGGGGCCAGGAAUGCCUUUUAUUACAGCGUUCAUCUGCCAACACUUCAGAAUCCAUCAAACCCACAGAAGGGAGCUUAACGCUGCAGAGAGGACCUACAAUAAUCACACCGUUUAAUGCUUUUCCAAACACCGACUGCCAUCGGCUCUCAGGGCUGUGUGACAGCUUGCUCUUUCUCACUUGCACCUAACGUGUGAGAUGCCUGAGCUCCUGUAGUUCUUUUCUGAAGCAUGGAGCAGUGGAGCAAACCUGAGAAGUACUGACCUACACAGUUUCAAAUAAUACCUUCCUGCAACUGGAAAGACAAUUUGCUUCACUGAUGUCUUCACAGGACCCAAAAUAAUGCAGGCUAUUUAAGGGUCCCUAGGGAUUUUCAUUUUAAAAAAGUGUAAUUAAUGAUUGAAACAUUGGUAUGCAAAAGGAUGCAAGCGAAGCAAAACUCUACAUCCCCUUGUUUGGGAAAGGAAGAGAAGAGAAAGUGGAAGGGAAACAGAAGUCCUACUCUUGUUUUUUCAGCAAAUAUUCACUUAGAAAUGAAUCUUCUCCAAACACAGCUGCCUGUCUGUGACUCUGAAUGUGACAGAGGUCUCCGUAUCUGCUCUCCAGGACAGGGAGCUGCCGUGGCCACGUUUCCAGGAACAAAUAAGCUGAACUCUAUCUGCCUGGACUUAAAAUAGCCACAUAGCUCAUCGUUCCUUCAAUACCAGCUUGUCUGUUCUGCAGGAGCCUCACAGCAGGAGAGCUGUGGGCUUCACAACUGGUUUUGGCUCUAGUUUGCUUUUGACUAACUUGUUUUAAAUCAUUGCUGUUAUAGCAACAGUGAAUAGUAUUGUAAAUCCACUUUUACCAACACCCUCAUAUCAGCUUGCCUUCAGUCAAAUCUUUGCUUUACUGAAGUGAAAAUAGCAAGACUUUCUCAAAGAUGAAGAAAAUUGAUCAAUGAAGCUAGAUUAGGGCUGUAACUGAAGGAAGAAGGAAUCUCUUAUGGGCUUUCAAAGGCCAUUGUAACUGCAAUAAAGCUUGCAUGGAAAUAAAUAGGAGGCGUUACAUUUGGAGCAACCUCCGCACUUCAUAUCAAAUUCAAAAUGAGAGUCUCUGCAGCAGCUGCAUUCAGUGGGAGCCUCACGUCGCCUCCAGCACACGCCUGCACCACGUCAUGAGCAGAAAGCACUACUCAGUACGCCCACACUGGGCUGUACGAAGCAGCUCAACAAGGAGGAAAGGGCAACUGCAGCCCAGGCCAGGCAGCACUGAGGGGUAAAAUCCCAGCACGGCACAACCUGAAGGCAGCUCAUCUUUCACUGCUCACCUCAGCUUCCCACUCACACAAACAGCAAUAGCUACGUUUGUAAAGCUAUACAAUAAAGAGCUUUGUCUCCACGGGUCGUCCUUGGAGUCUCUCUGUCUUAUUGAUGUAACCGGAUUGUCGUGCCUGAAGUUUCUAGAUGGUGCAAGUAGAAAAGUCCUCACACGAGUGCUGGCCAGGGGGAAGAUCCUGCGCUUACAUCUCAUUAGAAUAUAUUUACAUGAAAUAAGGACACCCAAAACAUUUAAAUGUACGUCUUGGGCGGCAUGGAGGAGCUUUGGGAUCCAGUCACAAUGGAAUGAAUGAUAUUAAAGCAAGCCUAACACACAACGACCACAUCUGGAUCCCAAACACGGGCAAUAACCCGACUCCUCCCCACCUGCUGACGUCACGCUGCAGUGGCACAGUGUGCUGAGACGUGUGCAGUCCUGCCCUGCUUGGAGGCAGGAAUGCUGCACACACCAUGGGCAGCCCCAGCCUGCAGCGAGCGCUGGGGCAGCAGUCAGCAGGGCUGCGGGGCGCCCGGCAGCUCCGGUGUCUGCAGGGCAGGGGCCAGAAAGCAGCCAGACCUUCCUUCAUGCAGAAAAAGGAGCUUCGUCACAGGAAGAAGAGAUGCUGGGAAGGCCUUACUUGAUACACGAGCAUCAUGGAGCUAAAAAUUGGCCCCAGCUCACCCUCUGAAUAUUCUAACCGAGGUUCACGGCGAGUUGCCGUGAAGCCAUGCAGAGAGCCCUGAGUUAGAGCACAAAGCACGAUGGUUUGCAACAACACUUUGCACAGCCUGGGUGCUCUGACAGGCCCAGGAGGAGAACCGCUUCUCAGCAGCAUUCCCUGCAGGAGGCAAAGCCUGCUGCAAGCCCACCUGCUGGGCAGAGCUGGAAAAGAACCCCAUGCUGGGUGCGACCAAGAGAAGGCCGGCAUUGCUUGAGCUCCAACAAAGGCCUGAUUCCUUCAUUUCUUUUAUUAGAAAAGUAAAAAAAAAACCACCUAUUUUGAGGGUGCUCCAAACCAAGUGGGGCUCAGCUCCCCUAAACUGAAAAACUGAAUGGGAGAAAUAAAUGGGUGAGGGGGUUAAACUCAGGGCCAGCUUGCAUACCAUGCAGUCUCUACGAUGUAGACUUCAUUUACCCACAGGUUAGGUUCCUACAUUUUGCCUACAGUUCUGAGGGUGGAUUAAAACAAACGAAAGAUCUGCCACUUCACUGUUCUUCCCAGCCUCUCUAAACUUGCAUUUAUUUGCUCUCUAAGGACACAGAAGGGGAAAGAGCCGCCAGCAGCACUGCUGAGAACUGCGAGCUGUUGCAGCAGUCUCAGUGCAGUAACAGUUGAUUUACGUGAUCAAAAUAAUUACUUGUACCGCUUAUCAGUGCAGUGCACGUUUGCAGACGUUCAGAUAAAUAUACAUUCACUGCACAGUAACGACCUCAAAUUGCCGUUGUUCAGGUGUCACUUAAGGGUCUGAAAAUCUAAACUGUGCCAACCACUGCUUCUCAGCUCAUCCCGUCUUCCUACCUCCCCAGGACAUCCCAAAGCACCCUCCUUUCUGGCUGCCACCACCAGUUUCUCUCCCACCUGGGCAGCGAUCUCUGCAGGACCUGUUCAGGCACAGAUGUGCCCAUCCCCACACGUGGAUUUUGUAAAAACUCAAACCCCAGCAAUUUGUUUAACAGCAGAGACUUCCCUGUGCUGCACCCCCGCCGCCCAACCACACCUCUCCUGCCCUCUGAGGAGCUCUGAGCUGGGAACCUGCUCAGCAAGUUCAUUUGGGCCUUCCAACACCCACAGGCACCGGCAGCUCCUUCCCUGUGCCCUCUGCAGCUCAGCCACCACCACGUCUGUCCUGAGCCACCACCAGCUCCCUGCUCUUCGUGCUGCUCCCACCUCUCGCUCUGCACCAGGCAGAGAUGGGGAUGUGUUACCUCCAUCUUUUGGACGAGGUUCUCCCACCAGGCAGCCGCACUCCUGCAGGGCUCACAGAUCGCCCUCUGCCCAGCCCAGGACAGGGCUAUGAGUCACCACCUGAUUAACUGGUUAUACAAUCACAGCACAAGUGCUUCCCCAGAACCAGCCCAGCGGUGCAGGCUGUUCACACCAAUGGGAAACGUAACUCCACGUUCCUUAGCAAAGGUCACAGUGAUGGCUACUGCAGUUUCUGAAUUGUGUUGUGUGAAAUGCUGAACUAUUUUAUGUUAACUUUAUGUCUAAUUCCCAGCCUUCAUCUGGUGGGUUCGGUGCUAUUCAGAUAACACAGCAACAGAAUCGGCUCUACCAG
ensembl:lncRNA